UACGAAGGGGGCUAGCGUUGCUCGGAAUCACUGGGCGUAAAGCGCACGUAGGCGGAUUGCUAAGUCAGGGGGUGAAAUCCUGGAGCUCAACUCCAGAACUGCCUUUGAUACUGGCGAUCUUGAGUCCGGGGAGAGGUGAGUGGAACUGCGAGUGUAGAGGUGAAAUUCGUAGAUAUUCGCAAGAACACCAGUGGCGAAGGCGGCUCACUGGCCCGGUACUGACGCUGAGGUGCGAAAGCGUGGGGGAGCAAACAGG
rnacentral:rRNA from 1 species